rnacentral:pre_miRNA from 2 species
GUGUAUUCGUGUUCGGUGGAUACCUUCAAGCUGGGGGAUGGGCAAUACUGUGUUGUAUUUCACCAGUAUUGCACACCCACUGGCCUGAAAGUGCCUACUGCUGGGUUCAAC